GACGAACGCUGGCGGCGUGCCUAAUACAUGCAAGUUGAGCGAUGAAGAUUGGUGCUUGCACCGAUUUGAAGAGCAGCGAACGGGUGAGUAACGCGUGGGGAAUCUGCCUUUGAGCGGGGGACAACAUUUGGAAACGAAUGCUAAUACCGCAUAACAACUUUAAACAUAAGUUUUAAGUUUGAACGAUGCAAUUGCAUCACUCAAAGCUGAUCCCUCGUUUUGUUGGCUAGUUGGUGAGGGAAAGGCUCACCCAGGCGAUGAUACAGAGCCGGCCUGAGCGGGAGAACCACCACAACUGGACUGAGAAAAGGGCCAAGAUUCCUCGGGAGGCAGCAGGAGGGGAAUAUCGGAAAUGGACGGAAGGCCGAACGAACAACGCCGGGUGGGGGGAGAAAGGUCUCGGGAUGGAAAACUCUGUUAGUAGGGGAGAAAGGUGGUGAGGGUAAUACGCUCAUGUAGUGACGGUACCUACAGAGAAAGCGACGGCUAACUACGUG
rnacentral:rRNA from 1 species